GGCGGCGUGCUUAACACAUGCAAGUCGAACGAAGAGCGAUGGAAGCUUGCUUCUAUCAAUCUUAGUGGCGAACGGGUGAGUAACGCGUAAUCAACCUGCCCUUCAGAGGGGGACAACAGUUGGAAACGACUGCUAAUACCGCAUACGAUCUAAUCUCGGCAUCGAGGAUAGAUGAAAGGUGGCCUCUACAUGUAAGCUAUCACUGAAGGAGGGGAUUGCGUCUGAUUAGCUAGUUGGAGGGGUAACGGCCCACCAAGGCGAUGAUCAGUAGCCGGUCUGAGAGGAUGAACGGCCACAUUGGGACUGAGACACGGCCCAGACUCCUACGGGAGGCAGCAGUGGGGAAUCUCCCGCAAUGGACGAAAGUCUGACGGGAGCAAACGCCGCGUGAGUGAUGACGGGCCUUUCGGGGUUGUAAAAGCUCUG
rnacentral:rRNA from 1 species